GACGAACGCUGGCGGCGUGCCUAACACAUGCAAGUCGAACGAAGUGGCGAACGGGUGAGUAACGUGUAAUCAACCUGCCCUUCAGAGGGGGACAACAGUUGGAAACGACUGCUAAUACCGCAUACUGAAGGAGGGGAUUGCGUCUGAUUAGCUAGUUGGAGGGGUAACGUCCCACCAAGGCGAUGAUCAGUAGCCGGGCUGGGAGGGUGGACGGCCCCAUUGGGACUGAGAAACGGCCCAGGCUCCUUAGGGAGGCAGCAGUGGGGAAUCUUCCGCCAUGGACGAAAGUCUGGCGGCACAACGCCGCGUGGGUGAUGACGGCCUUCGGGUUGUAAAACUCUGUUAAUCAGGACGCGGUACCGGAAUAGAAAGCCACGGCUAACUACGUGCCAGCAGCCGCGGUAAUAC
rnacentral:rRNA from 1 species